GCGCUGGAAUCCUUUCUGUUGCCAAGGUGACAGGCACUAUUAAAGGAUCGUGUGGCCUUUUCAAGCAAAGGAUCUAAAGUGGAAGGCCCUGACUGAAUUUGGCAUCUUGUUCUUGGUAAUGCACUGCCGCAGAACAAAAGCGAUGAAGGAAGGAGAACAGAAAAUUGCAAGAAAAUAUCUUCAAACUAUAAGGCUGGUGAGUCCAUCAUCCUCUCAGGAAAUAAAGAGUUCUGCAGGAGGCUGAGACCCAUUAAACAGCAGGCCUCCAUUCAACCAAUGUGUUCAGGGCUCUCCUCGGCCACCAUCAUCCAUGGAUUUGUCUAAAGAUUUUUUUGAUCCAUUUUCUGUAUUAACAGGGGCCCAUUUCAGUAGCUUCAGAGGCAAGGCAUGAAUCAGAUCUGGAUGAACUGGCAGUCUUAUGCAGACAAACUCUGGGCUACUGACUAUAAAAAGCACAUCUGGGGCAAGAUGAGAAUGAGUAAACAGUUAACA